GGUUACGGAGCCAGUGUGGAAAGGACCUUGCAUUGCCAAAGCAGCACACUCACACAAUUGCAGAGAAGUGUGAUGCCGAUCAUUUUCAAACCGAUCUUCUUGGAGAGGAUGCAAUUUCAGAUCCACAACUCCUGUUAUGAAAUCCCUAAAUAAUAAUGGCAUUAAAGAGGGUGCAUUCCCUGAACAAUGGCUGUAGAACAAGGGUUUUCAGUGUUCUGCAAUGUUGCCAGAUGCCAGCUAGGAUGUGGGACAACACCAAAGACUUCCAUAGUCUUCCAAAAGCCCAGUUCUGAUGGUAUAAAACCUAAACAGCAUUCUGUUUUGAUAGUUUAGCACAUCAUCAAAUGUGAGCAAGUAUGUCUCUGUGUGCAUGUGCCUUCAAGUUGUCUGUCACUUUAUGAAUUUCGUAGUUGUUUCAUAGUCAAGUAAUGCUCAGAGGUGGUUUUGUCAGUUCCUUCCUCUGAAACGUAGCCUACAGCACUAGGUAUUCAUUAGCAGUCUCCUGUCCAAGUAGUAACCGAAGCUGACCUUGUUUAGCUUCCAUGAUCAGGCAGGAUCUGGUGCCUUUAGGCCUCUUGUGAGCACGUAUAGCCAGUGACCUGACUAGG